CCUACGCGAGGCAGCAGUCGAGAAUCAUUCACAAUGGGGGAAACCCUGCUGGUGCGACGCCGCGUGGGGGAAUGAAGGUCUUCGGAUUGUAAACCCCUGUCAUGUGGGAGCAAAUUAAAAAGAUAGUACCACAAGAGGAAGAGACGGCUAACUCUGUGCCAACAGCCGCGGUAAUACAGAGGUAUCAAGCGUUGUUCGGAAUCACUGGGCGUAAAGCGUGCGGAGGCUGUUUCGUAAGUCGUGUGUGAAAUGCGCGGGCUCAACCCGCGGCCGGCACAUGCUACUGGGAGACUAGGGGAAUGGAGGGGGAACCGGAAUUCUCGGUGUAGCAGUGAAAUGCGUAGAUAUCGAGAGGAACACUCGUGGCGAAGGCGGGUUCCUGGACAUUAACUGACGCUGAGGCACGAAGGCCAGGGGAGCGAAAGGGAUUAGAUACCCUAGUAGUC
rnacentral:rRNA from 1 species